UACGGAGGGUGCAAGCGUUAUCCGGAUUCACUGGGUUUAAAGGGUGCGUAGGUGGGUUGGUAAGUCAGUGGUGAAAUCUCCAGGCUUAACUUGGAAACUGCCAUUGAUACUAUCAAUCUUGAAUACCGUGGAGGUCAGCGGAAUAUGUCAUGUAGCGGUGAAAUGCUUAGAUAUGACAUAGAACACCAAUUGCGAAGGCAGCUGGCUACACGAGCAUUGACACUGAUGCACGAAAGCGUGGGGAUCAAAUAGG
rnacentral:rRNA from 1 species